rnacentral:rRNA from 2 species
UUGCCUUUUGUGAUACGCUUUCAAAGAGUCAGGUUGUUUGGGAAUGCAGCCUAAAUUGGGUGGUAAAUCUCACCUAAAGCUAAAUAUUGGCGAGAAACCGAUAGCGAACAAGUACCGUGAGGGAAAGAUGAAAAGAACUUUGAAAAGAGAGUUAAACAGUAUGUGAAAUUGUUAAAAGGGAACCGUUUGGAGCCAGACUGGCUUGUCUGUAAUCAAUCUAGGCUUCGGCCUGGAUGCACUUGCAGGCUAUGCCUGCCAACGACAAUUUGACUUGAGGGAAAAAACUAAGGGAAAUGUGGCCCACUUGUGGGUGUUAUAGUCCCUUAGAAAAUACCUUGGGUUGGAUUGAGGAACGCAGCGAAUGCUUUUUGGCGAGUUUUCCAGGAAGGUUUUCUGAGGUACUACGGUAUCAAGGUUGAUCUUUUUGGUUAUACUUCUAUUCGCUUAGUU